AAAAAGCUAGAGAACACACAUGAACACAGUGAUUAGUGCAAUGUAGAAAAUUUAUCAUAAGAUGGAUGCAGAAUAUCAGGAACAUGAUGUCAAAUAUUUGCUUUAAGACUACAAAGAAACAUCCAGUAAAUCAAUAUCAUUUAUAAGCAGUUUACUGAUAAAUCCUGGAAAUAAAAUUAUCUCUCUUCAGCUAAGUCUCUAAUCUAUGAUUACUGUGUCUUCAAAGUAAGUCUUCCAUUUUUCCAGGGCAUAACUAGGUGCAAGCAAAUUUGCAAAGAAGACUGAGUCAAUUUUGAAUGAAUAACAGUCUGUUAUCAUGAAUCACAUUGCAUCUAAACAUCUGCCCCCCGCAGGUGUAAAAGAGCCUCUGUUUCUCCAUACCGUUUUCUUUAGCUCUUGGAGUGGAACAUCUCAUCAAUCAGAGAAUGACAGGACUUCUGAAAACCCUGAUAACUGCAAAGCUUCGUUUGAAUCACAGAAGACCUAGAAUAUAGAAGAAAGAGGAAAGAAGUUGAACCACAACGCCAAGGAAGACUACGGCCUUCAUCUUCACGACCACCAGAGGGACAGAGACGACCCCCUAGCAACAGUGCGCG
rnacentral:lncRNA from 1 species